GGCGAGAUGGCCGAGCGGUCUAAGGCGCCAGACUAAGGCGGACACCUCACCGGUGUUCGGUUAUCUGGUCCUCACGGGCGUGGGUUCGAAUCCCACUCUCGUCA